GACGAACGCUGGCGGCGCGCUUAACACAUGCAAGUCGAGCGGUAAGGCCCUUUCGGGGGUACACGAGCGGCGAACGGGUGAGUAACACGUGGGUGACCUGCCCUCAGCUCUGGGAUAAGCCUGGGAAACUGGGUCUAAUACUGGAUAUGACUCCACGGUGCAUGUCGUGGGGUGGAAAGCCUUGUGCGGCUGAGGAUGGGCCCGCGGCCUAUCAGCUUGUUGGUGGGGUGANGGCCUACCAAGGCGACGACGGGUAGCCGGCCUGAGAGGGCGACCGGCCACACUGGGACUGAGACACGGCCCAGACUCCUACGGGAGGCAGCAGUGGGGAAUCUUGCGCAAUGGGCGAAAGCCUGACGCAGCGACGCCGCGUGAGGGAUGACGGCCUGG
rnacentral:rRNA from 1 species